UACGAAGGGUGCAAGCGUUAAUCGGAAUUACUGGGCGUAAAGCGUGCGUAGGCGGUUUGUUAAGUCAGAUGUGAAAGCCCCGGGCUCAACCUGGGAACUGCAUUUGAUACUGGCAGGCUAGAGUGCGGUAGAGGGUGGUGGAAUUCCCGGUGUAGCGGUGAAAUGCGUAGAGAUCGGGAGGAACAUCCGUGGCGAAGGCGGCCACCUGGACCAGCACUGACGCUGAGGCACGAAAGCGUGGGGAGCAAACAGGAUUAGAUACCCUGGUAGUCCACGCCCUAAACGAUGCGAACUGGACGUUGGUCUCACUUUGGAGAUCAGUGUCGAAGCUAACGCGUUAAGUUCGCCGCCUGGGGAGUACGGUCGCAAGACUGAA
rnacentral:rRNA from 1 species